UCUCCUCUCACUUCUCUCAUCGCUCAUCUCAUUCUCAUCUCGCUGCUCUCUUUCAAACCCAUCUUCUCUUUCAAUUCUCUCAUCUAAAUUCAAACCUGCAACCAUAAAAAACUCUCAUAUCUCUCAUCCCUUUGCAAACGGAGAACACUCAUUGAGGAGUCGGAGCCUCACCGGCUUCCUUCUUGCUUAUCCGACGACAACAAGCAACCCUGAAACCCUUGAUUUUUCUGGCAAUGGUGGCGACUGAGGCUUGACGAGGACAGACAGAGAGACUGAGAACAGAGAGAGACGGUGGAGGUAGGUGGACAACGGCGACCGAAGGGGUUUUCCGGCGACCCGCCGGAGAAGAUGACGAUGGUGAGCGACAGGGAAGGAAUAAUUACAUAAUAAUUAAAGUCAUAGCAGGUGUACUUUCAAGAACAAAAUUACAAAAGAAAAAAAAAUAGGGAACAUUGUAUCAACAAAUGGACAUCCCCAAUGUGAAAUGCAGUUGGUUGACGAUGGUUUUUGUUUUUAAAAGGAGCUAUUGGUUUGGGGCUCUUUUAUGACAGCUGGUAAAUUCAAUGCAGGCUUUGCAAUUUGAGGAUGCAAAGUUUAAGGCAUUUGAUCUUGCCUCCAAACCCGAGGGAAGUGAGCUUAUUUGCCCAGAUCACCUCUCGGUUUUAAGUUUUAACUUCCUUCUUGUUGUGCUAUAAUAAUUGCCAUAGUGUCACUUGUUUGAUGUAUUUGUCGGGACUAGUGUCAAUGCCGGAUUUGGGUGAGAUGUGAUAAUUUUGGAUAUUUUCAGAUGUGGCAAACUUUAUAAUAGAAAUUAUUGAUCA